AUUGAACGCUGGCGGCAGGCCUAACACAUGCAAGUCGAACGAGUGGCGGACGGGUGAGUAAUGUCUGGGAAACUGCCUGAUGGAGGGGGAUAACUACUGGAAACGGUAGCUAAUACCGCAUACCAUCGGAUGUGCCCCGAUGGGACUAGCUAGUAGGUGGGGUAAAGGCUCACCAAGGCGACGAUCCAUAGCUGGUCUGAGAGGAUGACCCUCCACACUGGAACGGAGACACGGUCCAUACUCCUACGUGAGGCAGCAGUGAGGAAUAUUGCACAAUGGGCGAAAGCCUGAUGCAGCCAUGCCGCGUGUAUGAAGAAGGCCUUCGGGUUGUAAAGUACUUUCAGCCGGGAGGCGAUACCCGCAGAAAAAGCACCGGCUAACUCCGUGCCAGCAGCCGCGGUAAUUC
rnacentral:rRNA from 1 species